rnacentral:rRNA from 1 species
GAUGAACGCUGGCGGCGUGCCUAAUACAUGCAAGUCGAGCGAACAGACGAGGAGCUUGCUCCUCUGACGUUAGCGGCGGACGUGUGAGUAACACGUGGAUAACCUACCUAUAAGACUGGGAUAACUUCGGGAAACCGGAGCUAAUACCGGAUAAUAUAUUGAACCGCAUGGUUCAAUAGUGAAAGACGGUUUUGCUGUCACUUAUAGAUGGAUCCGCGCCGCAUUAGCUAGUUGGUAAGGUAACGGCUUACCAAGGCAACGAUGCGUAGCCGACCUGAGAGGGUGAUCGGCCACACUGGAACUGAGACACGGUCCAGACUCCUACGGGAGGCAGCAGUAGUGAAUCUUCCGCAAUGGGCGAAAGCCUGACGGAGCAACGCCGCGUGAGUGAUGAAGGUCUUCGGAUCGUAAAACUCUGUUAUUAGGGAAGAACAAAUGUGUAAGUAACUAUGCACGUCUUGACGGUACCUAAUCAGAAAGCCACGGCUAACUACGUG